ACAAAACCUAUGAAGUCCGUUGAUUUUAUUACAUGGUGCAACAAAGGGAUAAUGAGAGCAACCAAGGAUAAAAGCUGAGACAGUAGCAAUAGCAAGAGCAAGGCAAGGGAGACUAAGGCAAAACUAGAUGACGAAGGGGUUAACAAUUACAU